AAACAGCCUCUGUCUCAGGUUGGGAGUUGCUGCCAUGGAGACCACAAGAGUGGAGAUUUUCUGACACACAGAAAGGAAUGGAUUACAGCUCCUUCUUAUGUAAAUUUCCAUGGAGGGGAAAAAAGAUUAAAAGGAAAAUAAUUCUGCUUUAGUCGUUUUCCUUUAAGGUGAUAAGAUCCUUUGAUUCCAUCGUGGAGAAGAAGGCAACAGCUGUUUGUCACAAAUGAUGGGAAAUGUGCCAACGUCACAACAAGGUUUGAGGGAGGCACAUCUCAUGCUCGGACAUGAACACCCGAUCAUCAUGCUUAUGAACUACAAAAGGAUCUCCAGUAUGGGCUCACGGCAGUUGGCCCUUGAAUAACAUGAAUUUGAACUGCCUGAGUCUGCUAAUAUGUGGAUUAUCUUCUGCUUCUGCACCCUGAGACAGCAAGACCAACCCUUCCUCUUGCUUCUUUUCCUUAGCCUAUUCAACGUGAAGAUGACUAAGGCAUGAAAAAACCCUGAAAAACUGAGCGUUUGCUUCUCAGCGACUCAGCUUGAAAGAGGCUGUUUUAAACUGGAAGAGGUUGAGAGGCCUUCAGUUGGUGAGUUUAUUAUUUUCCCUUGCUCCUCUGUGAAAUGAAGCUCAUGAAGAAGCGUAGGUCAGGUACAGAAUAUAAAAGAAUGACCUUUUCUUUUUCCUGGACAAUUUAAGUGCACUGUCAUCUCACAACCUCAAACUCUUUAAUAUGGUAAUGAGAGGCAAAAGGCAUUUUAAUUUGGAGCUAUGUCGCAGUUUUCCAGCAUGUGAAGAAAGCAUCCUCAGUUGCCAAAAGGUCACGUGUGGGAUUAGUUGCUAGGCUGUGGGAUUAUUUUUCUAGGCUUGCUGGGGAAAAGGGCAAAAGAGAAGAAGCAAACUAGCAGAGUCAUGUGGCGUUUCUGUCCUGGGACUUACGCAAAUUAUGCAAUUGUCCUUUGCAUUCAAAUCUGUUCCUCUUCCACCUGAUAUUUUGCUGAGGGGACAAGUGAAAUUCCAAAGCUCAGUUUGCUGAAGUGUGCAAAAUGCUAAUCAGCUUCCACAGCCCACAAAGUGGCAGAGAGGGCGUGCCUCUCUGGAGAAGAGAGGAGAGACUGGACUAGGAGCUGGGAGGAGUCUGGCUGACUCAGCGGCCCCAGACAAACGCACUUCCAUCCUUUCCCAUUUCCGUUGUGAACUCUUCUCCGUGGGCAAGAAGAGGACUCAGAACAACUGCUAUCUUUUUACAAAGAAGGAUGAUGUGCAAGGGGGUCAUUUACAAGAGGAUCAAGGGUUUGGCUAUGUUGGGAGAUGCUGAUUUUGAUAAAUGUUUCCAUAUCUCUACAAAUGUGCCUUUCUGAGUCUCCAGUUAGACUUGAAAAAGACUUUGGAGAUUGUCCCCUGCACAGUGGCUCUGAGCCUGGACACCUAGGAGAUGCUCAGUAAAUAUCUGUUAAAUAAAUGAAGGAAUGGAUAUAGUCCAAACUACUUGGUCAUGCAUCCAGUUUGUGGCAGAUUUGGGUCUCUAAGGCCCAGUACACUAAUCACUCAGCUGGGAGUUUUUAUUCUGUUCCAUCUUGCUGCUAGGACAACUGUAGCCACCCAGAAGGAUGUCUCAACGCUCUGGAAAGUUCUCUGGCUGAAUGUUGCUAUGAUACAAUCUUUUAACAAGCUGAUUGCUCAGUAGCAAGAGCAAGUGCUAUUUAUGUUGGGUAAAUAAGAAGAAAUGCUGCCCUACUGAUAUUUGUUAAGUGCCCCUUUAAUAUUUGUGAGGAGGCGAUCUUGACAAAAUUUUGAGAGUGUAUACACUGGCAAAUUUUACCUUUUAUGGACUGUAAUAUCCUAUUGCUACUUGAUUUAAAAAUCUUUCCCUCUCUUCACAUAUAUCCAUAUGAAAAAAAACAGCAGAGAGAGAUAUAUGUAUAUUAUAUGGGAGAUAUCUAUCUAUCAUCUAUCUAUCUCCCACUUAUGACCUGAAAGCCCCGUCUUUGAGAUGUUCUGCCUUUCCAGCCUAAAUCAAUGUAUACCUUACAUGUAUUGAUUUAUGUCUUUGCCUGUAACUUCUGUUUUCCUAAAAUGUAUAAAACUAAACUGUAAUUCAGUCACCUUGGGUACACUUUCUCAAGCUUUCUUGAGACUGUUUCCCAGGCCAUGGUCAGAAUAAAC
rnacentral:lncRNA from 1 species